rnacentral:rRNA from 1 species
UACGGGGGGGGCAAGCGUUGUUCGGAAUUACUGGGCGUAAAGGGUUCGUAGGUGGCUUGCUAAGUCAGACGUGAAAUCCCCGGGCUCAACCUGGGAACUGCAUUUGUGACUGCACGGCUGGAGUGCGGCAGAGGGGGAUGGAAUUCCGCGUGUAGCAGUGAAAUGCGUAGAUAUGCGGAGGAACACCGAUGGCGAAGGCAAUCCCCUGGGCCUGCACUGACGCUCAUGCACGAAAGCGUGGGGAGCAAACAGG